rnacentral:rRNA from 1 species
AGCAGCAGCCGCGGUAAAACGAAGGGUGCAAGCGUUAAUCGGAAUUACUGGGCGUAAAGCGUGCGUAGGCGGUGAGUUAAGUCUGCUGUGAAAUCCCCGGGCUCAACCUGGGAAUGGCAGUGGAUACUGGCUCGCUAGAGUGUGUCAGAGGAUGGUGGAAUUCCCGGUGUAGCGGUGAAAUGCGUAGAGAUCGGGAGGAACAUCAGUGGCGAAGGCGGCCAUCUGGGACAACACUGACGCUGAGGCACGAAAGCGUGGGGAGCAAACAGGAUUAGAUACCCCCGUAGUCCCUGUCUCUUAUAC